GUCGAGGGGCAGCGAGAUCAGUGCUUGCACUGAUUGUCGGCGACCGGCGCACGGGUGCGUAACGCGUAUGCAACCUACCCAUUACAGGGGGAUAACACUGAGAAAUCGGUACUAAUACCCCAUAACAUCCAGGGAGGCAUCUUCUUGGGUUGAAAACUCCGGUGGUAAUGGAUGGGCAUGCGUUGUAUUAGUUAGUUGGUGGGGUAACGGCUCACCAAGACCACGAUACAUAGGGGGACUGAGAGGUUAACCCCCCACAUUGGUACUGAGACACGGACCAAACUCCUACGGGAGGCAGCAGUGAGGAAUAUUGGUCAAUGGACGCAAGUCUGAACCAGCCAUGCCGCGUGCAGGAAGACGGCUCUAUGAGUUGUAGACUGCUUUUGUACGAGGGUAAACGCAGAUACGCGUAUCUGUCUGAAAGUAUCGUACGAAUAAGGAUCGGCUAACUCCGUGCCAGCAGCCGCGGUAAUACGGAGGAUUCAAGCGUUAUCCGGAUUUAUUGGGUUUAAAGGGUGCGUAGGCGGUCGGAUAAGUUAGAGGUGAAAUCCCGAGGCUCAACUUCGGAAUUGCCUCUGAUACUGUUUGGCUAGAGAGUAGUUGCGGUAGGCGGAAUGUAUGGUGUAGCGGUGAAAUGCUUAGAGAUCAUACAGAACACCGAUUGCGAAGGCAGCUUACCAAGCUACUUCUGACGUUGAGGCACGAAAGCGUAGGGAGCAAACAGGAUUAGAUACCCUGGUAGUCCACGCAGUAAACGAUGAUAACUCGUUGUCGGCGAUACAUUGUCGGUGAC
rnacentral:rRNA from 1 species